rnacentral:lncRNA from 1 species
GCUUCUUUGUUGCCCUUCUGGAACUCAGACUCCCAACUCUCUGGAGUGAGUUAGGUGGAGUUCUGGAACGUUUUGCAAGACGAAGAUAGCUUUCUCAUUCUGUCGCCUUCUUGCUCUGCUCUGACGCCCACCUGCUUGUUGCUUUCUGCUGGUGUCUCACCUUCUGCAGGCGAGGAGCACAUGAGAGUCGGGCUGGGUGAAACCGGGGCUCCAUCUGCCCGCACGCUUUCUGGGGAUGUCUGAAGCUGGGACAACUAAGGCCCCAAGAGGAGAAAGGCACCCUCUGGGGCAGAGAGGCCAUUGAGUCAGAGCCAGGACCAAUAUCUCACCAGCUUUUCUUCUUCAACGCUGACCCCCGCUCACCAACAGUGGCUUCCUGAAUUGCUGGGUUAAGCAGGAUUCUGAGGGCCUUUGCAUAUGCUGUUUCUGGUGCCCAUGCCCCACCGACUCCACGCCCAGUUCACUGGAUUAACCCUCUUUUAUUCUUCAGGUAUCAUUUCCAUUGUCUUUUCCUCAGGGCGACCUUUUCCCAGAAGCGCAGCAGCUUAGUGGCUAGGGCUUGUGAUACCUUUAGGGGCCCAGAAAAAAGGCUUAAUUUCUUUAAAAAUCAGAAGAAGAAGAACGUGACUAUAAUAAUGACUGUAUUAUGAUGAAUCCAACCUGGAUUUAUACCAACAGGGUUGCAAAAUGUAAUUUUUUUAAAUGAGAAAAAGCCACCUCUCCCAACCCCUCUGCAAGACAAAGACCUUUUCUGGACUCCCCCUAACCCACCAGCACUGCUAGUCUGGUCUUCCCUAAGUAAGAGGCUUUCAUUGUGCCCUGAACUCUUCUGCCUAGACAUGUACUAUGGCUGUAACUUGACAUUUGCCCCCUAAACCUCAAGCUGGAU